rnacentral:rRNA from 1 species
UACGUAGGUGGCAAGCGUUGUCCGGAAUUAUUGGGCGUAAAGCGCGCGCAGGUGGUCCUUUAAGUCUGAUGUGAAAGCCCACGGCUCAACCGUGGAGGGUCAUUGGAAACUGGGGGACUUGAGUACAGAAGAGAAGAGUGGAAUUCCACGUGUAGCGGUGAAAUGCGUAGAGAUGUGGAGGAACACCAGUGGCGAAGGCGACUCUUUGGUCUGUAACUGACGCUGAGGCGCGAAAGCGUGGGGAGCAAACAGG